GACGAACGCUGGCGGCGUGCUUAACACAUGCAAGUCGAGCGGUAAGGCCCUUUCGGGGGUACGACGAGCGGCGAACGGGUGAGUAACACGUGGGUGACCUGCCCUCAGCUCUGGGAGUAAGCCUGGGAAACUGGGUCUAAUACCGGAUAUGACUCCAUGACGCAUGUUGUGGGGUGGAAAGCCUUGUGCGGCUGGGGAUGGGCCCGCGGCCUAUCAGCUUGUUGGUGGGGUGAGGCCUACCAAGGCGACGACGGGUAGCCGGCCUGAGAGGGCGACCGGCCACACUGGGACUGAGACACGGCCCAGACUCCUACGGGAGGCAGCAGUGGGGAAUCUUGCGCAAUGGGCGAAAGCCUGACGCAGCGACGCCGCGUGAGGGAUGACGGCCU
rnacentral:rRNA from 1 species